AAUGAACGCUGGCGGCGUGCCUAACACAUGCAAGUCGGAUGUGCCGCAAGGUGCAUGGCAGACGGGUGAGCAACGCGUGGGCAAUCUACCUAUCAGUGGGGAAUAACGAUCCGAAAGGAUUGGUAAUACCGCAUGCGACCAUUGACUGGGAUGUUGGUGGUGAAACCUGGGGACCGCAAGGCCUGGGGCUGAUAGAGGAACCUGCGUCUGAUUAGCUAGUUGGCGGGGUAACGGCCCACCAAGGCGACGAUCAGUAGCCGGCCUGAGAGGGUGAUCGGCCACACUGGAACUGAGACACGGUCCAGACUCCUACGGGAGGCAGCAGUGGGGAAUUUUGCGCAAUGGACGAAAGUCUGACGCAGCAACGCCGCGUGGGUGAUGAAGGUCUUCGGAUUGUAAAACCCUAUCGUCGGGGACGAAGGUAGCUUAGUGAACAGCUGAGUUGCUUGACGGUACCCGGAGAGGAAGCCCCGGCUAACUCUGUGCCAGCAGCCGCGGUAAUACAGAGGGGGCAAGCGUUAUUCGGAAUUAUUGGGCGUAAAGGGCGCGUAGGCGGUUUCUUAAGUCGGAUGUGCGAUCCCCGGGCUCAACCUGGGAACUGCAUCCGAGACUGGGAGGCUAGAGUACUGGAGAGGUUGGUGGAAUUCCUCGUGUAGCGGUGAAAUGCGUAGAGAUGAGGAGGAACACCAGUGGCGAA
rnacentral:rRNA from 1 species